rnacentral:lncRNA from 1 species
AACUGACCAACCCUACAUCUAUCACUUGUGAACCCUUUUGAGCUUAAUAAUUCAUUUGAAUUCACUUAUAAAUUUUGCCUAGAUUUGAGCCGUCCCGGUCAAACUGAACUUAAGGGCAAAAGAAGGGAAGAUAGUGUAGUGGACCUUAUGGGCAGGACUAGUGCAAAAAUUACAAAAUGGGACAUCUAAUCCCAAAAUAAAGAAAAAGUCCAGAAAGAAAAAAAAAAGUGAAAAAAAAGAGUUAAUGUCUUGGUUAGUAUGUGCUUAGGCCCGCAAGAAUAGGCAGGGAUCUUAAAAAUCUGGGAAGUCUAUUGCCCAAAAUGAAGUUCAGAAUGACCUUAGCCUCGUACCAAAAAUUCUC